GACGAACGCUGGCGGCGCGCUUAACACAUGCAAGUCGAGCGAGAACCGGGGCUUCGGCCCCGGGGACAGCGGCGAACGGGUGAGUAACACGUGGGUAAUCUGCCCUCGGUUCCGGGAUAGCCCGGGGAAACUCGGAUUAAUACCGGAUAGCCUCACGAGCCUUCGGGCGCGUGAGAGAAAGGUAAAAGAAUUUCGCUUGGGGAUGGGCCCGCGGUGCAUUAGCUAGUUGGUAGAGUAAAAGCCUACCAAGGCGACGAUGCAUAGCCGACCUGAGAGGGCGACCGGCCACACUGGGACUGAGACACGGCCCAGACUCCUACGGGAGGCAGCAGUAGGGAAUUUUCCGCAAUGGGCGGAAGCCUGACGGAGCAAUGCCGCGUGAGUGAAGACGGCCUUCGGGUUGUAAAGCCCUGUUCUUAGGGAAGAAAAAAAUGACGGUACCUAAGGAGAAAGCCCCGGCUAACUACGUGCCAGCCGCCGCGGUAACAC
rnacentral:rRNA from 1 species